UACGUAGGGGGCAAGCGUUGUCCGGAUUUAUUGGGCGUAAAGAGCGUGUAGGCGGCCCAGUAGGUCCGUUGUGAAAACUCGAGGCUCAACCUCGAGACGCCGAUGGAAACCAUUUGGCUAGAGUCCGGAAGAGGAGAGUGGAAUUCCUGGUGUAGCGGUGAAAUGCGCAGAUAUCAGGAAGAACACCCGUGGCUAAGGCGGCUCUCUAGUACGGUACUGACGCUGAGACGCGAAAGCGUGGGGAGCGAACAGG
rnacentral:rRNA from 1 species